rnacentral:rRNA from 1 species
UACGGGGGGGGGCUAGCGUUGUUCGGAUUUACUGGGCGUAAAGGGCGCGUAGGCGGCGUGACAAGUCACUUGUGAAAUCUCCGGGCUUAACUCGGAACGGUCAAGUGAUACUGUCGUGCUAGAGUGCAGAAGGGGCAACUGGAAUUCUCGGUGUAGCGGUGAAAUGCGUAGAUAUCGAGAGGAACACCUGCGGCGAAGGCGGGUUGCUGGGUCUCAACUGACGCUGAGGCGCGAAAGCGUGGGGAGCGAACGGG